GAUGAACGCUGGCGGCGUGCCUAAUACAUGCAAGUCGAGCGAACAGACGAGGAGCUUGCUCCUCUGACGUUAGCGGCGGACGGGUGAGUAACACGUGGAUAACCUACCUAUAAGACUGGGAUAACUUCGGGAAACCGGAGCUAAUACCGGAUAAUAUAUUGAACCGCAUGGUUCAAUAGUGAAAGACGGUUUUGCUGUCACUUAUAGAUGGAUCCGCGCCGCAUUAGCUAGUUGGUAAGGUAACGGCUUACCAAGGCGACGAUGCGUAGCCGACCUGAGAGGGUGAUCGGCCACACUGGAACUGAGACACGGUCCAGACUCCUACGGGAGGCAGCAGUAGGGAAUCUUCCGCAAUGGGCGAAAGCCUGACGGAGCAACGCCGCGUGAGUGAUGAAGGUCUUCGGAUCGUAUAACUCUGUUAUUAGGGAAGAACAAAUGUGUAAGUAACUAUGCACGUCUUGACGGUACCUAAUCAGAAAGCCACGGCUAACUACGUGC
rnacentral:rRNA from 1 species